rnacentral:lncRNA from 1 species
CAAGCUCUGUGGUUCUGAAAAUGAGAUUUGUUAAUUUGAUUUGCAUUCCCCCAUCUUUAGGAGUACUAGCAAUAUUUGACAACGUUAUAGGUCAUUUAUAGUUCUCAUCUCUCCCCUAAUAUCACACUCCCCUGGCGGCAGCUGCACCCUGUUCUCCACCCCACCCUCAUGAGUUACCUAAAGACCAAACUACAAUCUCCCAGCUGUGUCAGCCAAGCAGCCUUGCUGACAGCAAAGUUCUUUCAGCUCUUCUAUGGGCUGGUGGAGACCCAUUCCACCUGCUUCCUAAGACAGACAAAUUCCUCAAGGACUGGUCUGUAAAGGGAUUCAUUUAGGAGACUAUAUGGGAAGACUAGCUUCACUCAAGCAUUUAUCCAAUUAUUGUCUAUAGGCUAAAAUAGUGCUUAUUCAUUGCUCAGGAUAAAUGUUGGAAUAACAACUUUGCACUUCAGUAAGACAUCUAACGUGUAUCAGAUCUGCUAUCUUUUGGACACACUGACAUUUUUUUCUACAUAACAAAUCAUGGUACUAUUGGUCUGCAGGAGAAUGGGUAAAAAAGUGAUAGUCAUAGGUACGCCAACUUGUGGGUCAUAUCAUAGGUUUUCAACCAUUUCAAGCAUCCCUGCCCUAAUGCAAGUAUCUGAAGGAUCUGACCCUUGCCCUGCAGCAGAAUUCAUUCCAUGUCCCCUCUGGAUAUUAGACUGAUAAUUUGGAUCAGGUCUCAGCAUGGGCCAUUGAGGAACACUACAGCCCUGCUGAGAGAUAAAAAGGAUUAUCCACUCAAGGAGUUCACACCUCCGGGCCGACAUGGAGAACGUGCCUAGAAGCAGACUUGGAGGGUGCUCAGUGGUGGGUUGUGGAAUGUAAGCCUGAAGAAGCAGAGUUUAAUUCUACGGGGGUGCUUUCAUAAUUUAGUACCCUGACAGGGCUCCUGGUGUUGGUCCUUAGACACUCCUGGGAUGGCUCCCUGGAAACAUGGAGGAAACCUUGGUCGCAUGACAUGAUACGGAGAUGUUGGAGCUGCCUGGACACAGUUACAGAGGGAGGCAUUAAAAGGCUUCGAGAGGUAGGCAUGCUAGAGUGGACUUUCCCACUAAACCUGAGAACUCACUGGAUAACUGUAUUCCCUGCGAGAGCCCAGAGAACCCUCUGAAUUAGGAAAGAAGGGCAUGUUCUGAAAUGGGAGGAAUCAGCGUUCUUGAGAGUCUUGGUGGAAGCUGUGCCCUGUGGGGCAGGGUUGACUAUAGGAGACGCUGUUAAGGAAUUAGCUCCCAAGGGUCAAUGGAGAUGAUGUAAUUUCAAAAUAAGAGUCCAAAUGGGCAGAAUUAGUGUGAGAAGACAUAAAGCCAGAAAAGCAGCCAAGGAGCCCUGCUCUACAGAAAUCUGGGGUGACAGCUAAUAAACCACAGUGUUCCUAGGGGUAAGGAAAUUGGGCUACCACAGUGGUAUUCCACAUAUGUAUUCCAUAUAUACAUAUAU